rnacentral:rRNA from 1 species
CCUACGGGUGGCAGCAGUGAGGAAUAUUGGUCAAUGGACGCAAGUCUGAACCAGCCAAGUAGCGUGCAGGAUGACGGCCCUCCGGGUUGUAAACUGCUUUUAGGUGGGAAUAAAAGGGGGCUCGUGAGCCCCGUAUUGUAUGUACCAUCAGAAAAAGGACCGGCUAAUUCCGUGCCAGCAGCCGCGGGAAUAAGGAAGGUCCGGGCGUUCUCCGGCUUUCUUGGGUUGAAAGGGAGCGUAGGCCGGCUUUUAAGUCAGCUGGGGCAGUCCGCGGCUCAACCGUGGAAUUGCAGUUGAACCUGGAGGCCUUGAGUGCACACCGGGAUGCCUGAAUUCCUGUUGUAGCGGUGACAUGCUUAGAUAUCAUGAAGAACUCCGAUCGCGAAGGCAAGUGUCCGGGGUGCAACUGACGCUGAGGCUCGCAAGUGCGGGUAUCAAACAGGAUUAGAUACCCCAGUAGUC